GUUUUUUGAACUUACAUUAACUGAAUGAAAAUGUCUUCAGUCUGUAUUUAUUACAUGAGAGGAACUUGUCGAUUUGGUGACCGAUGUUGGAAUUCUCAUGAUCUCGACUCUGCACGGUCUGAAAGAGAAAGCCCACGUUCUGAAUAACAUUGAUGGAAUUUUAACCGGAUCAUCCAUUAGUAUUUUCAGUUUUCAUAAUUUGUGGUCUACUGUUUACCAAUUGAAUAGAAUAAAACUGGGAAAUUUUUUUUGUUAAACAAAUAAUGUAUAAUCGUCGAAUAAAGUGAGCUAUAAAUAAACAAAUUUUGGUUCACACAAUGAAGAGGUGCGGCCUUGAAAGUAUGUAGUUGACGUACAACAAAUCAUAUCCUAAACUUGGGUAAAUAAAAAUAACUGUUUAGUAUUUGUUGAAAUACUCCAAUGUUAUAAUAACACAUAUCAAAAUAAAAAAGUUCAAAUUAAUAACAUAAAUCGAGUGUACUUAAAUCUCAAUAAAACGUUCUUGUUUAUUUAACUUUUCUUGUAAGUUUCAAUAUUAAUGUUAA